rnacentral:rRNA from 1 species
GACGAACGCUGGCGGCGUGCUUAACACAUGCAAGUCGAACGGAAAGGCCCUGCUUUUGUGGGGUGCCCGAGUGGCGAACGGGUGAGUAACACGUGAGUAACCUGCCCUUGACUUUGGGAUAACUUCAGGAAACUGGGGCUAAUACCGGAUAGGAGCUCCUGCUGCAUGGUGGGGGUUGGAAAGUUUCGGCGGGUGGGGAUGGACUCGCGGCUUAUCAGCUUGUUGGUGGGGUAGUGGCUUGCCAAGGCUUUGGCGGGUAGCCGGCCUGAGAGGGUGACCGGCCACAAGGGUACUGCGAUACGGAGCAGAGUGCUACGGGAGGCAGCAGUGGGGAAUAUGGCACAAUGGGAGGAAGCCUGAGGCAGCAACGCUGCGUUCGGGAUGACGGCCUUCGGGUUGUAAACCGCUGUCGCCUGUGACGAAGCGUGAGUGACGGUAAUGGGUAAAGAAGCACCGGCUAACUACGUG